GACGAACGCUGGCGGCGUGCUUAACACAUGCAAGUCGAACGGAAAGGCCCUGCUUUUGUGGGGUGCUCGAGUGGCGAACGGGUGAGUAACACGUGAGUAACCUGCCCUUGACUUUGGGAUAACUUCAGGAAACUGGGGCUAAUACCGGAUAGGAGCUCCUGCUGCAUGGUGGGGGUUGGAACGUUUCGGCGGUUGGGGAUGUACUCGCGGCUUAUCAGCUUGUUGGUGGGGUAGUGGCUUACCAAGGCUUUGACGGGUAGCCGGCCUGAGAGGGUGACCGGCGACAUUGGGACUGAGAGACGGCCCAGACUCCUACGGGAGGCAGCAGUGGGGAAUAUUGCACAAUGGGCGGAAGCCUGAUGCAGCAACGCCGCGUGCGGGAUGACGGCCUUCGGGUUGUAAACCGCUUUCGCCUGUGACGAAGCGUGAGUGACGGUAAUGGGUAAAGAAGCACCGGCUAACUACGUG
rnacentral:rRNA from 1 species